rnacentral:rRNA from 1 species
UCGCCUGUUUAUCAAAAACAUCGCCUCCUGCAACAAACUUGAGUAUAGGAGGUCCAGCCUGCCCAGUGACUACGGGUUCAACGGCCGCGGUAUUUUGACCGUGCAAAGGUAGCGCAAUCACUUGUCUUUUAAAUAGAGACCUGUAUGAAUGGCUAAACGAGGGCUUAGCUGUCUCCCCCUUCCAGUCAGUGAAAUUGAUCUAUCCGUGCAGAAGCGGGUAUAAUACUACAAGACGAGAAGACCCUUUGGAGCUUAAGGUACAAAAUCCAACCACGUCAAGCAACCCAACAAAAGGCAAAAACUUAGUGGCUACUGGAGAUCUACCUUCGGUUGGGGCGACCACGGAGGAAAACCUAGCCUCCGAGUGGACUGGGUUAAAUUCCUAGAACCAAGAGAGACAUCUCUAAGCCACAGAAUAUCUGACCAAUAAUGAUCCGGCCCACGAGGCCGAUCAACGAACCAAGUUACCCUAGGGAUAACAGCGCAAUCCUCUCCCAGAGUCCAUAUCGACGAGAGGGUUUACGACCUCGAUGUUGGAUCAGGACAUCCUAAUGGUGCAGCCGCUAUUAAGGGUUCGUUUGUUCAACGAUUAAAGUCCUACGUGAUCUGAUUCAGACCGGA